AUAUUACUCCCUCCGUCCGGAAAUACUCGUCGGAGAAAUGAAUAUAUCUAGAUGUAUUUUAGUUCUAGAUACAUUCAUUUUUAUCCAUUUCUUCGACAAGUAUUUCCGGACAGAGGGAGUAGGAA
rnacentral:pre_miRNA from 1 species